rnacentral:RNase_P_RNA from 1 species
GCGAAUUUCGUUAAGUAUCGAAAUUUAGUUCUGAGGAAGGUCCGCCCACCCCUCGUAAUAGAGGCUUGCUUAAAGCAAGGGUUAUCCUUGAAAAAGGGCUACUGCAAGGUAGAGCUCUGGUACAGAAACGACACAGUUAAUACGGAACAAUGAAACAAGCGUGGAGUUAAGAAGUAUUAAAUAUGAUGAAACGAACAUCUUGACCGGUGCAAGGCAUUAAGCCGCUUAGUUAAAUAUUGACACAAACUGUUCGAUUACGAAGUUUGACAGAAGGUGGCCUAUUCCC